rnacentral:rRNA from 1 species
GAUGAACGCCGGCGGUGUGCCUAAUACAUGCAAGUCGUACGCACUGGCCCAACUGAUUGAUGGUGCUUGCACCUGAUUGACGAUGGAUCACCAGUGAGUGGCGGACGGGUGAGUAACGCGUGGGUAACCUGCCUCAUACAGGGGGAUAACAGUUAGAAAUGACUGCUAAUACCGCAUAAGACCACAGGGUCGCAUGACCCGGUGGUAAAAACUCCGGUGGUAUGAGAUGGACCCGCGUCUGAUUAGCUAGUUGGUGGGGUAACGGCUCACCAAGGCGACGAUCAGUAGCCGACCUGAGAGGGUGACCGGCCACAUUGGGACUGAGACACGGCCCAA